rnacentral:rRNA from 1 species
UAAGGUUAAGUUAAUAAGGGCGCACGGUGGAUGCCUUGGCACUAGAAGCCGAAGAAGGACGUGACUAACGACGAAAUGCUUUGGGGAGCUGUAAGUAAGCGCUGAUCCAGAGAUGUCCGAAUGGGGGAACCCACUAGUUAAUGACUAGUAUCCAUAUCUGUUAAGGAUAUGAGAAGGAAGACGCAGUGAACUGAAACAUCUAAGUAGCUGCAGGAAGAGAAAGCAAAAGCGAUUGCCUUAGUAGCGGCGAGCGAAACGGCAGGAGGGCAAACCGAAGUGUUUACACUUCGGGGUUGUAGGACUGCGAUAUAGGAUUAAUCAUUAUAGAAGAAUUACCUGGGAAGGUAAGCCAAAGAGAGUAACAGCCUCGUAUUUAAAAUGAUAGAUUAACCUUAGCAGUAUCCUGAGUACGGCGAGACACGCGAAAUCUCGUCGGAAUCUGGGAGGACCAUCUCCCAACCCUAAAUACUCUCUAGUGACCGAUAGUGAACCAGUACCGUGAGGGAAAGGUGAAAAGCACCCCGGGAGGGGAGUGAAAUAGAACCUGAAACCGUGUGCCUACAACAAGUUCGAGCCCGUUAAUGGGUGAGAGCGUGCCUUUUGUAGAAUGAACCGGCGAGUUACGAUAUGAUGCGAGGUUAAGUUGAAGAGACGGAGCCGUAGGGAAACCGAGUCUUAAUAGGGCGUCAUAGUAUCAUGUUGUAGACCCGAAACCAUGUGACCUACCCAUGAGCAGGUUGAAGGUGAGGUAAAACUCACUGGAGGACCGAACCAGGGCACGUUGAAAAGUGCUUGGAUGACUUGUGGGUAGCGGAGAAAUUCCAAACGAACUUGGAGAUAGCUGGUUCUCUCCGAAAUAGCUUUAGGGCUAGCGUCGAUGUUAAGUCUCUUGGAGGUAGAGCACUGUUUGGGUGAGGGGUCCAUCCCGGAUUACCAAUCUCAGAUAAACUCCGAAUGCCAACGAGAUAUAAUCGGCAGUCAGACUGCGAGU